UCUUCCUCACCACGCCGAUUUCCCUUCCUCUUCCCCGAACCCGAUCCCCUUCUCUUCUUCCUCACUCCGCCCGAUCUCCCUCCUGACUCUUGUCUUCAUCACCUGAGGCCACCGCCGAUGUCGCACCACCUGUUGUCAUCACUGAUGAAGUCUUGAUGUCACAGCUACCUGGUGGGCGCCUUCCUCUUCUCUGACUUGUUGCCGACGCCAAAUGUCGGUUGGCGACGUGCCUUAAUACCGACAUGGAUUCUUCAUCUUCGACCUCGAGUGAUGUCCUAACACUGAUUGCCGAGCGCUGAGCAUCCUUUUUCCUCCAUCGGUUGCCGAGUUCAUCCAGCCACACUCGAUCUCCCCACUCCUGGUCGCGGACACGCUGGCAGCGAGCUUUCUUCCGUGCCCUAGAUUGUUGGAUCGCAGAUCCACCAUCGACCGAGCGACCUCCUUCUUCUCCAAUCGUCAAGUCCCGAGGUCACCACCCCUUGGCUGUGUUCUAGCUCUUGAUCCACCGACGCUAGGCUGAGCACCUCCUGAUACAGCCUCUGUUCGAUUGCCUCAAUGUUUUUUUCUUCUCCGAUUACCCUCUGGUCAGUGCCCUAGUGCCGAUGUCGUACUAUCCUCUGCCCCAGCUCACUACUAUCGCAGCAUCUCAAUGCCCUCCGAGAGAGAUCUCAGAUCUAGUUCAAGGCUCCACCCUUGGUUCUAAUAACAGCUCCACCAGGUCAUCCUUUCUGGCAACAAGGUCCACUGGCAAUGAAUCAAUCAGCAAUCAUCUAAGAUUCAGGACUUUGAUUCGAGACGAGCGUUUUGACGUGGGAUCUAUCUGAUACGAUCUUCAUUUUGAGGCGGGUACCUUUGACUUAUCUCUUUAGACAUUGUCAUUCUGAUAUGCUUAGUAGGUUAUAACUAGUAGUAAUAAUUAUGUUUAUAUAUGCUUAGUAUGCCACUACUUGAUACUUGUAGUUUGCCCUUAUUAUUAUCUAUUGUGCAUUCAUGCUUAUGUUCUCUUAUUUCUUGCCAUGUGUACUUAUGUAGUGACAUUCAAUGUAUUACCAGAUAUAGGUCUAGUUACUAGUUUAUUUCCUGGCAUGUGUACCUAGGUUUAUUUCCUUGCAUGUGUACCUAGGUUUAUUUUCUAGCAUAUGUACCUAGAUCAUUGUUAUAGACUUGGUUUUCUUUUGGUACACAUUAUGGGAAGGUUGAUAUU